rnacentral:rRNA from 1 species
AUUGAACGCUGGCGGCAGGCUUAACACAUGCAAGUCGAGCGGGGGAGGUUACUUCGGUAACUGACCUAGCGGCGGACGGGUGAGUAAUGCUUAGGAAUCUGCCUAUUAGUGGGGGACAACAUUCCGAAAGGAAUGCUAAUACCGCAUACGCCCUACGGGGGAAAGCAGGGGAUCUUCGGACCUUGCGCUAAUAGAUGAGCCUAAGUCGGAUUAGCUAGUUGGUGGGGUAAAGGCCUACCAAGGCGACGAUCUGUAGCGGGUCUGAGAGGAUGAUCCGCCACACUGGGACUGAGACACGGCCCAGACUCCUACGGGAGGCAGCAGCGGGGAAUAUUGGACAAUGGGGGGAACCCUGAUCCAGCCAUGCCGCGUGUGUGAAGAAGGCCUUUUGGUUGUAAAGCACUUUAAGCGAGGAGGAGGCUACUGGUAUUAAUACUACUGGAUAGUGGACGUUACUCGCAGAAUAAGCACCGGCUAACUCUGUGCCAGCCGCCGCGGUAAAAC